GGCGAGAUGGCCGAGCGGUCUAAGGCGCUGUGUUAAGGUGUGUCCUCCUCCUCCUCCGAGGAAUAGAGCUCAUCCGCAGUCUUCGGACGUGGGUUCGAAUCCCACUCUCGUCA